rnacentral:rRNA from 1 species
UACGUAGGGAGCGAGCGUUGUCCGGAUUUACUGGGCGUAAAGGGCGCGUAGGCGGUCUGUUAAGCGUGAAGUGAAAUCUCCAGGGCUCAACCCGGAAACUGCUUUGCGAACUGGCAGACUAGAGGAAGGCAGAGGUGAAUGGAAUUCCUGGUGUAGCGGUGACAUGCAUUGAUAUCAGGAGGAACACCCGUGGCGAAGGCGGUUCACUGGGCCUUAUCUGACGCUGAGGCGCGAAAGCGUGGGUAGCAAACAGGAUUAGAAACCCGAGUAGUCC